rnacentral:rRNA from 1 species
CGGGACACGUGGUAUCCUGUCUGAAUAUGGGGGGACCAUCCUCCAAGGCUAAAUACUCCUGACUGACCGAUAGUGAACCAGUACCGUGAGGGAAAGGCGAAAAGAACCCCGGCGAGGGGAGUGAAAAAGAACCUGAAACCGUGUACGUACAAGCAGUGGGAGCACGCUUAGGCGUGUGACUGCGUACCUUUUGUAUAAUGGGUCAGCGACUUAUAUUCUGUAGCAAGGUUAACCGAAUAGGGGAGCCGAAGGGAAACCGAGUCUUAACUGGGCGUUAAGUUGCAGGGUAUAGACCCGAAACCCGGUGAUCUAGCCAUGGGCAGGUUGAAGGUUGGGUAACACUAACUGGAGGACCGAACCGACUAAUGUUGAAAAAUUAGCGGAUGACUUGUGGCUGGGGGUGAAAGGCCAAUCAAACCGGGAGAUAGCUGGUUCUCCCCGAAAGCUAUUUAGGUAGCGCCUCGUGAAUUCAUCUCCGGGGGUAGAGCACUGUUUCGGCAAGGGGGUCAUCCCGACUUACCAACCCGAUGCAAACUGCGAAUACCGGAGAAUGUUAUCACGGGAGACACACGGCGGGUGCUAACGUCCGUCGUGAAGAGGGAAACAACCCAGACCGCCAGCUAAGGUCCCAAAGUCAUGGUUAAGUGGGAAACGAUGUGGGAAGGCCCAGACAGCCAGGAUGUUGGCUUAGAAGCAGCCAUCAUUUAAAGAAAGCGUAAUAGCUCACUGGUCGAGUCGGCCUGCGCGGAAGAUGUAACGGGGCUAAACCAUGCACCGAAGCUGCGGCAGCGACGCUGAUGCGUUGUUGGGUAGGGGAGCGUUCUGUAAGCCUGCGAAGGUGUGCUGUGAGGCAUGCUGGAGGUAUCAGAAGUGCGAAUGCUGACAUAAGUAACGAUAAAGCGGGUGAAAAGCCCGCUCGCCGGAAGACCAAGGGUUCCUGUCCAACGUUAAUCGGGGCAGGGUGAGUCGACCCCUAAGGCGAGGCCGAAAGGCGUAGUCGAUGGGAAACAGGUUAAUAUUCCUGUACUUGGUGUUACUGCGAAGGGGGGACGGAGAAGGCUAUGUUGGCCGGGCGACGGUUGUCCCGGUUUAAGCGUGUAGGCUGGUUUUCCAGGCAAAUCCGGAAAAUCAAGGCUGAGGCGUGAUGACGAGGCACUACGGUGCUGAAGCAACAAAUGCCCUGCUUCCAGGAAAAGCCUCUAAGCAUCAGGUAACAUCAAAUCGUACCCCAAACCGACACAGGUGGUCAGGUAGAGAAUACCAAGGCGCUUGAGAGAACUCGGGUGAAGGAACUAGGCAAAAUGGUGCCGUAACUUCGGGAGAAGGCACGCUGAUAUGUAGGUGAAGCGACUUGCUCGUGGAGCUGAAAUCAGUCGAAGAUACCAGCUGGCUGCAACUGUUUAUUAAAAACACAGCACUGUGCAAACACGAAAGUGGACGUAUACGGUGUGACGCCUGCCCGGUGCCGGAAGGUUAAUUGAUGGGGUUAGCGCAAGCGAAGCUCUUGAUCGAAGCCCCGGUAAACGGCGGCCGUAACUAUAACGGUCCUAAGGUAGCGAAAUUCCUUGUCGGGUAAGUUCCGACCUGCACGAAUGGCGUAAUGAUGGCCAGGCUGUCUCCACCCGAGACUCAGUGAAAUUGAACUCGCUGUGAAGAUGCAGUGUACCCGCGGCAAGACGGAAAGACCCCGUGAACCUUUACUAUAGCUUGACACUGAACAUUGAGCCUUGAUGUGUAGGAUAGGUGGGAGGCUUUGAAGUGUGGACGCCAGUCUGCAUGGAGCCGACCUUGAAAUACCACCCUUUAAUGUUU